GAGUUUGAUCGUGGUCAGAUUGAACGCUGGCGGCAUGCCUUACACAUGCAAGUCGAACGGCAGCAUGAUCUAGCUUGCUAGAUUGAUGGCGAGUGGCGAACGGGUGAGUAAUACAUCGGAACGUGCCCUGUAGUGGGGGAUAACUAGUCGAAAGAUUAGCUAAUACCGCAUACGACCUGAGGGUGAAAGUGGGGGACCGCAAGGCCUCAUGCUAUAGGAGCGGCCGAUGUCUGAUUAGCUAGUUGGUGGGGUAAAGGCCCACCAAGGCGACGAUCAGUAGCUGGUCUGAGAGGACGAUCAGCCACACUGGGACUGAGACACGGCCCAGACUCCUACGGGGGCAGCAGUGGGGAAUUUGGACAAUGGGCGAAAGCCUGAUCCAGCAAUGCCGCGUGUGUGAAGAAGGCCUCGG
rnacentral:rRNA from 1 species